GCAAUGAUGACAAUGAAAUACACAAAGCAAUCUCAGUUCUUUUUCCAAAAUCAGCAAAAGCCAGAAAUUAUAAAUACUUAAUAAUUUUCCUGUUUUUUCUUCACAGACAUAACAUCAAGCACCAGGUUAUGACUUUAUAAUAGAAUCAUUCUUUGUAAAUAAUUUUAACAAAGACACUGGCAGUACAUAAGCCAGGAUUAAUACAUAUUUUUGGAAAUCUAGCAAAAUGGAUACACCUUAAUUCAAAUUAUUUAACAAUGAAAUGUUAUGAUCAUAGUCUUGUGUAAGUAUCAUGUCACAUAUUAUGCUAACAGUAAAACCUAUAAAAUCUGCCCAGCUUGGUUAGAGAUCAGAUUUUCAAGUAACUCUCUCAGGGCCAGUGUUUUAGUAGGCUCAUGAUGGAUUUAUUGACUGUUGGCCAUGAUCAAGAGAAUAGUGUCUGGUCUCUGUUAAUAUGUGAAAUAGUAUUCAGGGUACUUUGAAAAUGGGGAAAAAAUAUCUACAAAUACCUCCAUUUACGAUUCUUCCUAUUAACAUAAACUGUGAAACUUGUUAGGCAGCUUACAACCUAAACACCUGAAAUGAAUUGUCAAUGCAUUCUAUUAAUUGUUUAUUAGAGGAAUUUUAGAGUUCUUUUAAAUUCACAUCAGAAUUGAAGGGAAGGCACAGGGAUUUCUCAUAUACUCCCACCCUGUCAUGCCUAACUCCCCCAUUAUCGACAUUCUCUACAAGAGUGGUAUAUUUGUUAUGAUCGUGCCUAUACAGACACAUCAUAAUACUCAAAGUUCAUAAUUUACAUGGGGGUUUACUCUGGGUGUUCUAUAUUUCUAGGUUUGAACAAAUGGAUAAUAACAUCCACUAUUACAGUAUCAUGCAAGUUAUUUUCACUACCCUAAUAAUCCUCUAAGUUCUGCAUCUUAAUUCCUCCCCUUAACCCCAAUCACUGAGAACCAGUGAUCUUUUUACUUGUUUCCAUAGUUUUCCUGUCCCUAGAAUGUAAUAUAAUUUUGUUUUGGAUUUUUUGAGACAGGAUUUCACUAUGUUCAGGCUGGCCUUGAAGUCAUGGCAAUCUUCCUGGCUCAGCCUCCCAAGUGCUGGGACUACAGACAUGCACCACCACGCCUGGCUCACAUCACAAACACUGAUACAUCCAUUGUCUGGAUGUGUCAAAGUUUCUGCACAACUUGAUUACCUCCAGGUUUUGGCAUUUAUGAAUAAGGCUACUAUAAGCACCUGAAUGGAGGCUUUGGCAUGCAUAUAUGUUUUCAUCUCUAUAAAUGCUGCCACUAUUGCCAUUUGACAUGUGAUUCAGCUAACAGCAUCCUCCCUUGAACUGAGUCAAUACCAUGCUUUCAACCUCCAAAACUGUCAGCAAAUAGAACUUUUUUCUUCAUAACUUUAUCUGCCUUGGUACUUUAUUACAGCAAUGCAAAAUGAUGUUGCAUGAUGAGUUCUUUGUAUGUUUGGAAUACUAUUCCUUUAUCCAAUGUGUUUUGAAAAUAUUUUCU
rnacentral:lncRNA from 1 species